UGAAAGGUUGCUGACCCCUGCUUUAGACUAAUCUACUUUCAGCUGCCUCUUACAUCUCUCUAUUUCAGUUUCUGUUAUUACAUUUACUUGUGCCCCAGUAUCUAUCUUGUGUGUCACACAAAUGCCAUUUCUGCAUGUGAUGGGGUGUUCACCCGAUACUAGCAUGGAAAGGGUUAAUGAGGUUGAGAAGGGGCCAAUUAACCAGGUAGGCAACAUAUGAGGGGAAUUAGGUAGAUAAAUAACCCUGGAUUGAUGAUGAAGUCUAGCUGAGACGGAAUAGAUGGAAUGUUGCAGAUCUUGGCUGGUGAUUAGAGGGUCCCUCAGCUGGAACUCAUAGUAGAGGAUGGGCCUGGAUUCCCAUACCACCCACUGGUGAAGUGGUACAGUUAGAGUAGUGGAUUUGAAGACUACCUGUCUUGAAGGUCUUUGAUACCCCAGAAAGAGCAGCCACAAAGAGCGGCCUGAGUCACAGAUAGAGAGGGAAGCUGCCAGGCAUGCAGACAAGCAACAGGAGGGGGAGUCAGAUCUGGAAGGACCUAAUCCCCAGAGCUGCCAGGAAGAGGUGCCUCAGUGUUCCCGGCCUCAUUCGCCAUACCACCUUCCAUCUUCUGCAACAGAUGAGGCAAGGAACCUACAGACAGUAGCUGCCUUCACACAACCCAGAUUGAUUUCCUCAGACUCAUCCAUCUUGUGCAUUAAAUGAGGCUGGGAAUCCUGUGGAAAAAUGUGGUGUAAUUUAUCAUUCAAAUGAGAAAACUUGUGGAAAAUGGAAUUAAUCAUUUAAUCCUUACUACAUAAAGUCUCUAGUUGCUCCAGCUGACACAUUCACUGCUGAGUGCUUAAGGCAGAUAGACAAGGCAAGGUUUAUCUACACAUUUGCAUAGCAAAUAUGCCGUCCUAUGGCAGGAC